UACGGGGGAUGCAAGCGUUAUCCGGAAUCAUUGGGCGUAAAGCGCCUGUAGGUGGUUUAAUAAGUCUGUUGUUAAAGACUAGGGCUUAACCCUAGAAAAGCAAUGGAAACUACUAGACUUGAGUAUGAUAGGGGUAGAGGGAAUUUCUAGUGUAGCGGUGAAAUGCGUAGAUAUUAGAAAGAACACCGGUGGCGAAGGCGCUCUACUGGAUCAUUACUGACACUCAGAGGCGAAAGCUAAGGUAGCAAAAGGGAUUAGAUACCCCUGUAGUCUUAGCCGUAAACGAUGGAUACUAGAUGUUGUGUUUUUAUGCGGUAUCGUAGCUAACGCGUUAAGUAUCCCGCCUGGGGAGUACGCUCGCAAGGGUG
rnacentral:rRNA from 1 species